GAGGAAGGUGGGGAUGACGUCAAGUCAUCAUGGCCCUUACGGCCUGGGCUACACACGUGCUACAAUGGUCGGUACAGAGGGUUGCCAAGCCGCGAGGUGGAGCUAAUCUCACAAAACCGAUCGUAGUCCGGAUCGCAGUCUGCAACUCGACUGCGUGAAGUCGGAAUCGCUAGUAAUCGCAAAUCAGAAUGUUGCGGUGAAUACGUUCCCGGGCC
rnacentral:rRNA from 1 species